CGCGUAGGCGGUUUGUUAAGUGGGAUGUGAAAUCCCCGGGCUUAACCUGGGAAUUGCAUUUCAAACUGGCCGACUAGAGUACGGUAGAGGGAGGUAGAAUUUCCUGUGUAGCGGUGAAAUGCGUAGAUAUAGGAAGGAAUACCAGUGGCGAAGGCGGCCUCCUGGAUCGAUACUGACGCUGAGGCGCGAAAGCGUGGGGAGCAAACA
rnacentral:rRNA from 1 species